GCUCGACAUUUAUCAAAACAUCGUUUUGUAGAAAACGUGGGAACAGAUGGUUCUUUAAACGUAUUCUGUCAUAUUCGCAGAUGAAAAUGACAAUAGACGUUUAAUGUAACGUUUACUGUGAAAGGAAUGGACGUUUAAAUUUGUGUAAUUAAAGUCGUGAAAGCAAAAACUGUGUCUCAACCCAAGGAAUAAACACAAUGGAUAGAUGUUAGAGAUAUGUGAUUUGUAAGGUAUCUUGACUUUCCCUUAAUUUGCUUAAAAAUCGUCGUUCAACAACGUUUCCUUCAAUUAAACUAUGUAGCAUUCAGACCGUGCAUAUGCUCUUAUUUAAAUAUAUCAGUGUUAUAGUCCUUCGUUUUUAUUAGUGGAAGAGCUAUCGUAGGACCAACAUCUCAUUGAACUUUUCGCCUUUUUUUUUCUACGAACACAAUUUAUCAGAAUUUUCUUUCAUGGUUUUUCCUCUAAAGUUACUACGUUGAAUAUACAUUCGUUCGAUAAUGUCUAAAUACUAUAUGAUUACGUUACUGUUGUACUUUUGUAUAAGUAUUGAUGCUUGGAGUUCUUUUAAAAGAUUUCGACAUCUUUGGCAACCAAAUAUUAACCACGCGAACGAAUCGUUAUCGCUUGAACGUGAUUCUCUAAAGAAUAAAUUACAGUCAAUUAAUUUUCAAACUAGUGCACCAAGCCAUGGUAGCAGAGAAAAACGACUUUUUCCAUUAUUCACUUUGGUAAAAUUUGACAAUAACGUUUGCGCCGGAUUAAAUGGUGAGAAUGGUACCUGUCUCGCGACUUCAGAAUGUUCGCAACGUGGUGGUAUAUCAAGUGGAGUUUGUGCAAAUGGUUACGGAGUCUGUUGCAUUGUGACAGUAUCUUGUGGUGAGACAACCAGCAAUAAUAACACUUAUUUCGUUAAUCCGAAUUAUCCAUCGACGUUUGAUGGUACCGUAUCUUGUCAAUUAACUCUCGUUAAAUCCCAUCCAAGCGUAUGUCAAUUUAGAUUGGAUUUCAUACAGUUCAACAUAAGAGGUCCGGAAAAGACUAACCAUCAGUGUAUCUAUGAUCAAUUUAUCGUUUCUGGAGGUAAUCCGGUACCUACGAUAUGUGGAAGUAAUGCUGAUAAUCAUAUAUAUAUCGAUGCUGGCCUUGGACAAACAAAUCCUGUUACAUUAACAUUUGUUACGAGCGGAAAUUCUUUUGCCCGAUCUUGGAAAGUACGUCUCUCCCAAAUUCGUUGCAAUACUAUAUACAGAGCCGAAGAAGGAUGUCUGCAAUAUUUCACAGGGAUAUCCGGUCAGAUAAAAUCGUUCAAUUACGAUCCUGUCACAGGAUUGCAAUUGUCGAAUCAAGAUUACAGUAUUUGCAUCCGAAUGGAAAGAAAUUUUUGCGGUAUCCAGUACAUGACAUGUCCGAUUGAUGAUAAAGCAGAUAGUGCCAGUAUGACUCAAAUGACACGUAGUCAUGCAUUUACGUUAACCGGAAAUACGCAAGCAAUGCAGAUAGCAUCGAUGACAGGAGCAGCCUGUCAAACCGACUGGUUAACGAUCCCGUGUGCAUCCAAUACAGGUAGAUUACCAACUACCAUGAUCACCUGUAUCGAUCGGAUAUGCGGUGGGACAUUUAACGCAGAAAAUCAGAAUUUGAACACAUCUUCAGUUAUCAGUACCGUGAAACCAUUUAGAUUAAUUUUCCACACGGAUAGCGUUGAAGCGCCAAACGAUGUUGGAAAUAGGGGAUUUUGUUUGAAUUAUAUACAACAACCUUGCACGACAAAAUUGAGGUCCUUUAGCGCCACCAGAAAGAAGCCUUCCUAGACGAAAUAUCACUGCUCUCUCGUAUUCUUGUACCACCUAAGAAAUUUCAAUGGUUCUUUGUUUUUCAUUUUAUAACCCGAUGAGAAACUUAUAGAGUAAUAAUAAAAAAGAAAUAUAUUCAUUUAUUAUGUACUGUACUAAUUGAGCUGUAUAUGUUGUACAUGUGUUGUAAAGAGUGUAAGAACGAGCGGAAAAAUGCUAAAGGAUAUGAACAAGAGUGUGAUCGGUCAUCUAAUUAUAAAAUAACCUGGGAAAGAAGGUUAAUGAAUGGAGAUUGUAUAGUAUUUGCGGCUGAAAUAAUAAUUGAGAUAUUUUUGGAUGCGUUCGAUAUGAACAACGUUUUUUUACUAAGCUACUUUGAUCGCGACAUGAUAAUCCUUCAUAGCGUUUAUAGAUUACAACAUCAAGAAUUAUAAAGGAAAAUUUAAAAAUGUGUUAGAGUUUGCUUCUACCUUGUCUUCCGCUGGAACAUAAUAAAGUAUGUUAUAAUGGUCAAAAGCAGUUAGAAAUGAGUGAAGGUACACAUAGCCAAGACCGUACAUGUUUCGUACAUAUCUAGUCGUCUACGUUUCAUGAAUUUCAGAAGACAACCAAAAUGACCAAGUUAAGUCUAAAAGAGGCUGAAUUUAAAUGGAAUAAAUCAUCAAGCAUUCUAGAUAUUAAAAAAAUGUAAAUAAGAUGCGUUCUUAUAUCCAAUAUCUAGACAGGAUGAUAUUCGAUAAUUAAUUCGCAAAGUUCAUUCAUUAUUAUUAAACAGAAACAAGAAGAAAAAUAAUAUAAUACGAUAUCGAAGAAUGCGUAAAUGUAUUUAUAGGAAUAUUCAGUUGUCUCAUCGAUUUUACGAGUAUCUCCAGCGUAUUCACGCGCAGAUCGAUAUUUAGAUGUGUAUACAACCUACAUUCAGAAAAUUACGUCUCCGUAAAAGAAAUGGAUCGAAUUAUGUAAAAUGAAUAGAAAGUACGUCUAAAGUAAAUCUAAAGUAAUCUAGAAGUAAUAUUAAUGAAUUGACAAGUUACGAGUUAUUAAAUAGGACAGAGACUUCUCUUUUACUAAUUUAUAAGUUUUAAUUAAUUGGGAUACUCAUAUGAAUUUGUACAAUUUACUUAUAAUAUUUCACUUGUUUCGUUACUCGACUUGUACAGCUUUUAAAAGAUUAGAGGAUUAUUACUGUUGAUAUCUUGUGCCUUAUAAAAUUUCAAUUGAUAAUAUUUGAUAAAAUUUACAAGUCAUAAGCUAUUGCUUACCUACAAUGUAUGUGAUUAUCAACAUAAAAACUGAUAAUUUAACUAUAAGAAAAUAUAAACUAUAAUAUUUUUUAAAAUCAUACGAAAACUUCUGAACAGUUUUAAAAAUUCUAAUCUGCAGUACUCGCUUACCUUCCGUCAUUGUGAACUGUAGCGAUGAUUGAAUUCGAUUUGGCAAAUUCGAAUCGAGCGAAAAAAUCACACGAAUCCCUCCUCACGCUCACCAAGUCUUUGAACUCUGAAUAAAUAGGGGUGGAGAGGAGGUUUCACAGAGAAAAACGAAAUAUGGCAGAGCUUCAAUACUAUUCGUGUCACACGAUCCUACUACGAGUAGUUGCUUAGCCGGUCUACGUUUAACCACCCACCCAUAGCAAGUCCUUGCUUUCCUUUUUUCCUUUACCUUUUUUCCCCCGUUUUCCCGUCUCGUUUACUAUCACCCUCUCUCAGAUGGACGCUCACUGUUGCUCUUUUCCUCUUACCUAUUUCUCUUCUCCCUUUAGUCAUACCGACAUGCGCAAAAUGCGCACACCCCUACCUUUUCUAUUUUCAAUACUUGUAUCUUCUCCUCCUCCUCUUCUUUUUUUUUUUUUCUCUUAUUGUUCAGCUCUGUAAUUUUCCCUCGCCUCCCUUAAUCAUUAAUUAUUACUGUUGAGCCUUUCCCUGGCAUAACAAACUGAUUCUUCAUGCUCGCACAGAAACAUUGAAAACAUAGGAAAUUGAUAUUUCCUAACUUUUGUAAUCUUCGUUCUUGCAAAUUGUCUACGUACAUACACGCAUGUGUAUAGAUACCACUUCCGCUUCUCUAUUUAUGUACUAUUUAUUACUUGUUACGUGUAUAGUGUAAGUCGUAUAUUCGUUCUUGAAAUAUUUCUAUCGAUUUAUACUUAGAAAGUACUUGUUACACGUGUUUAUAGCUUAUCCAUCGAAAUCAGCACGUACAAAGUUGAUGCUAAACAAUACCAAGCAACAAUACCAACAACACCAUUAUCUAUAUAUAGAAUAAUCAUUUAUCUUGGAAACCAUUUGGAGAGGGACCGUAAUUUUCUUUGUGUUCCUCUAUAGCUAUAUAUAUCACGUCUAACCAUAACGAGACAUUUCUACUUGGAACUCUGUUCUCUCUUCUUCAAAGUUAAACGAAGUUAUACAUAGAUAGAGCGUAGAAUAUACGUAUAAAAUGAUCGACGACCUUGUCUGAGAGUACAUUUUUCCGGAGUGUAAAGAAAUAUUUGACCUUCUUUAGACCCGAGUAAUAUUUUAUAUUGCCCAGUCCAACGUGACGCAAUGUUGUAUAUACGUGUGCUUCAAUUUAAUGAUGUACACGUAGUGCGAAAAUAUAUUUAUAAUAUAAAAUUUUUCUAACUCACCGCCGAUGAUACGAUUUUGUAUAUCAUCUGGCCGCGUAUUGAUUUGUAUCGUUGAUCCAUUUCCAUUGCUUAUAGUUGCCAUAGGUAUAGACAUAUCACUAGGCUUCACACGGGAUUCAAAUCUCGCCACCUAAAUUACAGAUCGUAUAGUGACUUGAUUUAAAACUGAGUUGUAGGAAGUGCAAAAUUUAACUCCAAUAAAGUGUAUACAUUCGAUUUAUAAUCGCAAUUUAUUC